rnacentral:misc_RNA from 1 species
AACGCACAUUGCGCCUCUCGGUAUUCCGGGAGGCACGCCUGUUCGAGCGCCAUUACACACUCCAAGCUCUGCUUGAUGUUGGACACUGCGCGACCCUGUGGGUCGCACAUGUCUGGAACGUGUAGGCGCCUACCGCCGAACCACGAGCGUAGCAAGGCAUUUCUGUCAUUCGCUUUGUUGGAAUUGGAUGGUAGGCAGCCCGACUUUGUAGUCAACCAUUAUCGAGUUUGGCCUCGGAUCAGGCGGGGAUACCCGCUGAACUUAA